CCUAGACCUGGUUUAUAAAGGCCAAGCCUCGUCGACCGCGGCAAAAGGUAUUUCAGGCAACACUGCGAGUUACAGCGCUGAUGUCGAGGGUAAAUACAUAUCGAAAUAAGGUCUGCGGUGAGCGCUGGUUCACAGAGCGAGGGGUAACAUGUUGCACGGCCUGUUUGGGAGGGGCCGAGUAUUGACCAGUAAGAGGACAGCAUUAUUCUACUCUGCAUGUAUGUGGUUCCAUGCCUUGCGCUUUGGCUCCCUUGUUUUUUCCUAUCGUUGUCUUGAGCUAAAUCUCAACACAUUGUACUUGAAUUACCUCCUUUUUUUAUGUGACCUCAUGUGCUGGUUUUGUUUUGUGUUUUUACUUUAACCUUUUUUUCAUCGGCAAACGUUUGGUUUUGUUCGGUAUGUGUCGAGAGAGAUACAUUGCACAAUACGAUAAAGCAAUGUGCGUACACGGAAAAAUGUUAAGUGCCACGAAAAGAAGAUGCAUUUUCCGUGUUUUCUUUUUUUAUAUUUCUUUGUGCAUUAUUUGUUUACCAAAUUUGGUAUUGUUUUAACUCUGCUUGGGGAAUAGGCCGAGAAGGUUUGGUCAUUUGUUAUGAAAGCUACCUCUAAGUUGUUUGUCGUUUUUUUUUUUCAUUUUAAAAAGCACAUUUUUGUUCCAUGUUGCAUUCGUUGUGUGUUGUGUUUUGCUUUUUUUGUUGUCGACUUCAUCUCAUGCUUUCAAACGUUGAUUUAUGAUUGUUCGCACAUACUUUUAUCGCAACAGCAGAAAAGGCUAAGAAAGUAUUGAGGAGAGUUUAAAAAAAGAAAAACAACAGAUCUUUCAAACGGAUGUUUAAAAUCCAAUCCUCUCGCAUCCCCCACCCUGCCAUUGUAGAAGAGCAGAUUCCGAACAAUUCCGAAGCCUUAAACGUGGAGUAGGAAGAGGAGGUUGGGAGAAUAACUUUUUAAAGAGGGUUUAAAAAGAAUUAAACUUGAAAAUAUGUGAAUAGAAUUGUAGUUUUGUAAUGUGAAAAAGCUGAAAAAGACAAAAAAAAAAAAGACAAAAAAAGUUAUUGGAAAAAACUGCCCGAGUUUCGCCGCUGUCGUUGCCCCCGUGGACAGGUCACAUGACGCAGCGAUUGCGGAGCGUGUCGGACAAGUGGACCUGCAAGUCGUAAUCAAAACAAAGAAGAAGAAGAAGAAAAAUUAAAAAGACACGGUUAAGAAUAAAGAUUCUCUUUGUUGACCAGUGCUCUUGAAAAACAGAGCAUUCCUGAGAGAGCCAACCGAGGCAAUUUGAUAGCUAUUAUAAAAUAUUGUGAUAUUUUUGUAUUCCGUGUCGGUUUUUGUUUUUCCCCAUUUGUUGAGGGUAUCAGCAGGGCACAAAUAUUUGUAUUUCCUGUUUUUUUUUAUUGCCUAUAAUGUCUCUUGUUUUUUGGUCCCUCUGGGUGUAAAUGGUUUAGCCUUGCUCCUCCUUGAUAUUGUCGGACAUAACCCAAUGUAUGUGCGUGGAACAUGUUGUACUUGAGUGUUGCUUUUCCUGGAUGUCAAUCGCAUUGUAGAUGAAGGACUAACGUCUUAUCCGCCACAACUGUGUGAGUAUGUGUGCGUGUGUGUGUGUUUGUAAAGUGUAAAGGAAUAUCAAUUUUUCAUUCAAGGAAAAAAUAUAUAUAAAAAAGCUCCUCAAAUGACAGCAGGGCAGGGAAGGUGGGGAGACAUUCGAUUGGUUGGCGAGGGAGGGGUGGGCGGAGCCAUUGCUACCGGCCAACCAAUAAGUACUUGUCGUUUGCGACUUUUCAAUCAAACUUGAUUGUCAGCGUUACUUUUUUUUUUUUUUUUUCUUGUAUUUGAAAAAAAGUAAGGAGAUGCUUUUUCCUAUUGCGUCUUGCCAUUUUUAAAUCUCAAAACACUGUGAUGACUAGGGUCUAUUUUUUCUUUCCGCCCUCACACACACACACUAUCCAUCCUGUAAUAGUACGUUGUGUCCGGGUCCCAGUGUAAAAGCCACUAUAUAUCAAGAGCUGAUCAGUUGUUCCUAUUGUGAUUCUAUGAAUGUUUUCUACUUUCUCUGUGUGGGCGAGUGCAUAAAAGUGUCUUUGUGUGUGUGUGUGUGUGUGUGUGUGUGUGUGUGUGUGCAAGCGUGUGUGUGUGUGUGUGUGUGUGUGUGUGUGUGUGUGUAUUAGUGAAAAAUGCACUAAUCCGAUCAGACACAAAAUAAAAUGAUGUUCUAUGCCACUUUUUUUUUCCUCUGAAAAAAAAGAUUAUUCUAUACAUAGUGCGUUGGCAUUUCUAUAGUUCUUCCCUCAGUGUUUUCUCUGAUGUUUAUGUACUAUCUUUGUGCCUAAAAAUGGAAAUUGUUCAAAAAUGUCCAUCUAUAUUAGUUUCUGUAUCUUCAGAAGAAAGGCUAACGGUGUCUCCAGCCACCCUAGGGAUGUCAUGACGCUCUUACAAAAGAAACCAUGCAAAAUAACCUGAUCUGGUAAUCUGGAAAGAGUCUCAGUGUCUUUUCUCACUGCCCCUCCUUCCAACCUCUCCACCGUAAACGUUGGGAUUGUGCUGGAAAAAUCCUGUAUACCAUAUUUUUCCCGCCAUGUCUCGGCUAGUAUUGGCAACCAAACCAAAAGCAUACAACAUGGAGAAUGUUUUCAAAAAAUGUAAAGAAAUUAUUUGUGAUUUCUCUUUUUCUUAUGCCCUAUCACUGAUAUUGGCUGGCUUGCUUGCAUAUUGACUGAGUAAGUCUAGCAUAAUUGUGUAUGUUUCUUUAACAUUUAUAAGCCCCCAUGUCAGCAACAGGUUUGCUGACUAUAACUUUUGCUUGCUCUUGAAAACAAAAUUUAAAAAUAACUCCAUUUCGGCAGGUUGGCACAGGGGAGUAACUUUCCCUUCUGCUUGUUUUUUUAACUCUCUUGCUGGUAAAAGUGCUUUUCUUUUCUUAAAAAAAAUACAAUUAGAUUGUGAUGACAAAGUGAAAACCUGGUGGUAAUCCUGGCAUCCCUUGGAGCUGGCACUUUUGUGUUUUGGUGUUGAUGUCUCUAGAACAAGUAGCCAUUUCAUGCCGUGUUGCCAUGCAUGUGCCAUUUGAGGUCUACAGAAAAAAAGGAAUAAAAAAUAAAAAGACAAAAAACAGAGUAAGUAAAGCACUAAGACAUUGUAUUUUUCUAAAUAUUAGCACUGAGGACCAAUUGCCCUAUCGGACCAAGCGCAACACAGCUUUUUAUGUAACAAAGCUUUGUAUCUAUUUCUUUCUGUCUCUCUUUCUCUUUUUUUUCUGGCUUGUCUGUGCUAUAUUCCCCCUCUCAUUUUUUGUGACAGCACAAGUGCCAGGCAAAAUUGCUCUGUGUAAAAAAAAUAGUGUUUUUAUUAUGAUUUGAAUUUUUAUAGUUUUCGUCUACCUCAGCACCUAAUCUUAGCCUAAUCUUAGAAGGUGCCCGUUAUCAUUUUUAUUUUUAUUUUAUUUUUAUUUUUGGUUGUAUUAAAUUUGCAUUUGAGCUUUGCAAAGAUCCUGUGUCUUUUCUAGAGACAAUGCUAUUUCUGUGGCAGUUUGUUUCCUGUUAAUCUGUGCCACCAAUCUAUGGCAACAUCCAUGUCUGUUGAUAAUGAAAAGGAUGAUCUGUUGUUUUUUUUGUUUUUUGUUUUUUUCUUUCCACGUAGAGUAAGACACAUCUCUUUGUAACAUUUCAGUGUUCUCUGAUGGAGUGUGAAAAAAAAAUAAAAAAGGAAAAAUAAAGGAUUUAAUGCUGCAGG
ensembl:lncRNA